UGUCUGGUGGGGGCUUAUUUCCCCACUGACUCUAGGCCACAAAAGGGCUAGGAGGAGCCACGUAGGAGUUUUAACUUUAAGGGGUUUGGAAUGCGCUGAACUCUCCAUGUCUGGGGUGUAGUGUUGUGAUUAGUCAAUUUCUCAGACCAGACUGUCUUGACGUGUGGUGCGUGGAUCUAAGCCGAGACUCCGUCUACCUUUAGGGCGGUCGGGGUAGUCAGGAGGACGGUGUAGGGUCCUUUUCACCGUGGCUCGAGAUUCUUGGUCUGGUGUCUGUGUACCCACACGGUGUCUCUAAUCUGGAACGGGUGUGGCACCACCGGAUGUUCAAGCUUGUCCUGGUAAGCAGCGGCCAAAGGUCUCUAGACGUCUCUCUGCACAAUCUGUAGGGCCUGUAAAUGGGCCCUCAGAGAAGGGCUGUCAGCAAAAUCAGCAAUGUUUGAAUCAAAGAAAUGGACAAAUGGGGGUGGUGUUUUAUACAUUAUUUUAAAAGGAGUUAGACCAUGGGGGCCCGGGGUAUUCUGGGCCCGAUAUAGAACUAGGGGAAGGAGGGCCACCCAAUCCUUUGAGCCAGUUGCAAGCGUAAGUUUGGAUAAAGUCUCCUUAAUUGUUCUAUUUAUGUGUUCUACCUGACCUGAACUCUGGGGUCUAUAGGCACAAUGUAAUUUCCAAUCAAUCCCCAGCAAUUUGGCCACCAACUGACUUACUUGGGAGACGAAAGCGGGCCCAUUGUCCGACCCCAACGCUUGAGGCAUGCCAUACCUGGGAAAGAUUUCCUCGAGGAGCUUCUUGGUGACCAUUUUUGUAGUCUCGUGUUUUGUGGGGAAGGCUUUGACCCAUCCUGAGAAGGUGUCUACAAACACUAGGAGAUACUUGUAUCUAUAUAUAUCUGGUUUAAUUUUAGUAAAAUCAAUUUUUUAAUGGAUGUCGGGACGGUGUCCCCUAGGACGAACUCCUUGUCCAAUCAUGGUCCUUCUCAGGUUAACCUGAGCGCACGCUUUGUAACUCUCAGUCACCUUUUGUAUCGCUUUGUCCCGAUUUAAAAAACACAGAUUUAUCUCUUUUUGAUCUAGUCAUCUUUUUAAACCCCAAAUGGGUUAAUUUAUGUAAAAAGGAGAUCAAUUUAAAAGUCAUUUUUAUUGGCAUAACUGUCUUUCCUUUGUAGACCCACUGUUUUAGUUGAGGGUGGUAGAUGGCCCCCAUUUUUUUAGGAGCUCUAUGUCCUCAUGGGCGUAAACCCAACUGGUUUGUCCCACUGGUGGGGGCGUGGGUUGGUCUGGGCUAUUUAAGGGCAAGAUUUGUUUGUUCAUGGCCGCUUCUCGCGCCGUGGCAUCGGCCAGCCGGUUUCUUUGUGUCUCUGGGUUGUGCCCUUUCUGGUGUCCUGGACAAUGUAUAAUACUCAGUCUUUUGGGCAAGAAUAGGGCUUCUAAGAGGGCCAGAAUUUUAGCCUUAUUUUUAAUAUCUUUAUCUUUAGAUGUGAGCAGCCCCUGCCUCCGGUAGAUCUCCCCGUGGAUGUGUACCGUGGCAAAGGCAUAACGGCUGUCUGUAUAUAUAUUUAGCCUCUUACCUUUUGUCAUCUUGAGCACCUGAGUCAAGGCGAUGAGUUCAGCCCGUUGUGCGGAGGUACCAGCAGGCAGGGCUUUCGCCCAAAUCACUUUGUCCUCCGUAGUGACCGCAGCUCCAGCCUUUCGCUCUCCCUCUGUCAAGAAGCUGUUGUCAUCCGUGUACCAUGUGUGGUCAGCAUUCUGAAGAGGCUGGUCCGAUAGGUCCAGCCUGGUUCCAUGUACUUCUGUGAGGAUU
ensembl:lncRNA